rnacentral:rRNA from 1 species
UACGUAGGGUGCAAGCGUUGUCCGGAAUUAUUGGGCGUAAAGAGCUCGUAGGCGGUCUGUCACGUCGGCUGUGAAAUCCCGAGGCUCAACCUCGGGUCUGCAGUCGAUACGGGCAAACUAGAGUAUUGCAGGGGAGACUGGAAUUCCUGGUGUAGCGGUGAAAUGCGCAGAUAUCAGGAGGAACACCGGUGGCGAAGGCGGGUCUCUGGGCAAUAACUGACGCUGAGGUGCGAAAGCCAGGGGAGCGAACGGG